rnacentral:rRNA from 1 species
CAGUCGCCGCGGGAAUACCGAGGGUGCAAGCGUUAAUUGGAAUUACUGGGCGUAAAGCGCGCGUAGGUGGUUUGUUAAGUUGGAUGUGAAAGCCCCGGGCUCAACCUGGGAACUGCAUCCAAAACUGGCAAGCUAGAGUACGGUAGAGGGUGGUGGAAUUUCCUGUGUAGCGGUGAAAUGCGUAGAUAUAGGAAGGAACACCAGUGGCGAAGGCGACCACCUGGACUGAUACUGACACUGAGGUGCGAAAGCGUGGGGAGCAAACAGGAUUAGAUACCCCCGUAGUCCCUGUCUCUUAUAC